UUACUACGCAGCAGGAGUGUCUGUCUCUUAGAGGAGACAUUAUGAAAAUCUUACAUCUGUUGAAGUUCCAGUGUCAGUAGUUGUUAGCAAGAUGCGAAGAGAAAGUGACUGGAAAGGGCCUCCUCGUUAUUCAGUCCCUUUCCCCCAUCACAGGAAAUUGUUGUCUUGUAAUCCCUGCUGAAGGGAUAAGAAGUUUGUUUAAAAAAUGGAUAGAUUUCUUGCCUCCCUCAGAACUGUAGACAAGAUUAAGACCCUGAUCCCAAAGUUCCAGCAUCUGCAGUCCCCUGGGUAUUUUUGGUCACUCCUACAAUUGGAAUAAGGAUCACUUGUCACAUGCUAUAAAACUUGGCUUUUGGCUCAAGGCUGCAUAUGAUCUUUGCCUCCAAAUUAGGUUUCACCGUAUUUCUUCCAUUAUCCAUUGAAGCAUGGAGAAAUUAGAUGAAGAAAGCAGCAGAGGGUUGCCCAUCUCUGGGAACCAAAAUGGGGCAGGAAAAGUGGAAGAAGGUGCCUCCAGCAAGCAGGGAAUGGAGAAUCUGACUUAACUGAGGUGUGCUGGGACCUGAGGCUCUCCCUGUGCUUUUCUACAGCUGGGUGGCAGCAUUUCUGCAGUGAUUCAUCUGCAUGGAAAUAAGGCAUCCUUAAGGCUUUAUUUUAAUUCAGAAAUCUUUCAAAAUAUCGGAAUUGCCCUUGGAACAGAAGUUACCAGCUUCGUCGAGAAGCCAAUGUAACUCCAGUGGCCAGAAGGGACUUCUCGAGCAGGAUUAGACCCGUCGUGGGCACCAGGCUCCAAAGGGCAGUGAGCUGUGCCUGUCCAUGAACUCGAGCCCUGGCGUCGCUCUGCUGCCCUGUGCCGGCAGCCGUGACGCGUGUGCAGCAGCAGGGACGGCACCUGCACCCCUUCCCGUGUGUCACCCAUGAAAUGAGUUUGCAGGAGCUUUCUUGCCUAGCCGGCGUCAGCUCCAGCUGUGGCUCACGGUGGAGAUGAGCAGCUUGUAUGGAUGUUUGCAGAGGAUUCCUCUGGUGGAUGCUGUCAAGCAUCAGCGAGUGACAGUUACCCUCGGGAUGGAGGAAGUGGUCCCGUUCCUCUGGAAUGGAAUGGUUUAGCCACUUCGCCCCCUGCCUUGGGGCAGUGGGGAUGGCUGAAGGGCCCUCGCAGUCCCCUCGCACCUCUUUCCUAUGGUAAGAACAUAUGUAGCGUCUGAUCUCAAGUUGUGAAAACCCGCGGUCUUCGAAGCCGUAGCUACUGAACUAUUCUGGGACAUCAGCGGUGAUUUCAGGACACAGGCAGACAGGGGAAUCUUUAAACAACCUGACGUUCUGCUGAAAUCUCCCCAGUGCUCCAAGCUGAGUUAUAAACUAGUAUUGACUCUUCAUCAUGGUGUGUCACUUUUUUUCCGCUGGUAUGAAAACAAUAUAAAACUGAGGAGAAGAAACAGGGAGGAAUAAGUAUAAUGUUAAAUAUGUUAAUACCAAGUAUAGAAGCUGCUUUCCUUCUUCAGGCUUAAUUUUGUUAAGAAACAAAUGUGAAGCACAUGUGAAAUGAGUCAUUCAGUUUGCCCAUACUAAAUUAGUUGGUUAAACUUAGGAAAAUGCAUUUUAGGCUUGCUAAUGCAAUUGUAACUAUAAAGCCUUUUGCUAAUGAAUUCUCAAUGACAUUGCUGGCAGCUAAUUUGGAAAACAUUUCCAUAUGUGACUUCCAUAUGCAUCUCUGCUGGGGAGGGGGGAGGAAAGCAUGAUUGUGUAGGACCUGGUUGUUUUGUCAUGUUUUUUGAAUGGAUUGAAG
rnacentral:lncRNA from 1 species